UGGGAGUGUCAUGGCGGCUCCUCCUUUUCCUUUAUUCUGACAUCUGGGGCCGUUGCGGUUCGGACAGCCCAGGCCUGACAUCGCCGUCACUCAGCCUGCACACCGGUCACCCAGCGCUGCGAUAUCUCUGUACAUCGCGCUGCCCGGAGCCGCUCUCUCACAGCCCCGGCCAGGCCUGACAGCAGCCGGUACCGGUACCCGGGACGGUCCCCGAGCGCAUCCCGAACUCAGGUAACCGGGAGGGGGGCGAUACCGGGCCUGCCCACAGUGUGUGCACCCUGCCAGGACAGAGCCCAGGGAUAAUGGAGGGGCUGGGCUGUGUAUGGCACCCUGCUAGGGGCUCACUGACUGACACCCACUUUAUUAUUAUUAUAUAAUGACAUUCCCUCUAUCAGCCAGUCUGUAAUAAUAAUAAUAAUAAUAAUAUAAUAUACCAUCAAUAAUGGACACUCACUGUACAUUGCAUGAUAGGUUAAUAAUAAUAUAACCAGGGCAUGAGAAUAUUACUGGAUUGUUUUCCUUUAAUGAGAAUAGGAAGAUGCUUUAUCAUCAUUUUUUACAUGUCCAGCAUCUUCUACAACAAUGUACUAAUAAUAAUAUUACCAUGAAUUUAAAAAAAAAAAAAAAAAUUUACAUUUUUUUUUAGAUUUGCCUGCAAGGUUUUUGAUUGCUUUAAUGCACAAUAACAGAAUAGGAACAGGUUUCUUAAUCACUGUUUAUGCUUAUCAAACCAAUGAUUGCUCGUACCGGCACCCUAAGUACCAGAACCACUAGAAUUUAACCCUUUUACGCUGCAGGGCAUAUUAUGCCUCCCUGUGAAUUGUGGGCUUUAACGCCGUAGUGGUGGUUUUAUAAAGAGGCUAUUAUCACCGUUCCAUGUUGGUUUUGACAGAAUAUGAUGGGAAGUGUAGUUCAGAACAUAUGUGUACAGCGCAGUGGGAUUUGUUGGCACUUUAUAAAUAAUAUGUGGUACCAAAAUCAUCCUGCAGAGCACAAAAACAAGGGUAGGUGCCAGAAGAUAUACAGUAUUUGCCCACCACUCCGGUACUGCGUCUGCCCUGUGUCACAACAAUAACAGACGUUCUUCCGGGUGGCAAAAGCUGAAGCGUUGUGUGAUCAAUGCAUACUGCACUCACACUAACCUAAUAGCGGACUGACUCUGACUCUGCACUCACACUAACCUAAUAACGGACUGACUCUGACUCUGCACUCACACUAACCUAAUAACGGACUGACUCUGACUCUGCACUCACACUAACCUAAUAACGGACUGACUCUGACUCUGCACUCACACUAACCUAAUAACGGACUGACUCUGCAUUCACACUAACCUAAUAACGGACUGACUCUGACUCUGCACUCACACUAACCUAAUAACGGACUGACUCUGACUCUGCACUCACACUAACCUAAUAACGGACUGACUCUGACUCUGCACUCACACUAACCUAAUAACGACUGACUGCUCACACUAACCUAAUAACGGACUGACUCUGACUCUGCACUCACACUAACCUAAUAACGGACUGACUCUGACUCUGCACUCACACUAACCUAAUAACGGACUGACUCUGACUCUGCACUCACACUAACCUAAUAACGGACUGACUCUGACUCUGCACUCACACUAACCUAAUAACGGACUGACUGCACUCACACUAACCUAAUAACGGACUGACUGCACUCACACUAACCUAAUAACGGACUGACUGCACUCACACUAACCUUUUAACGGACUGACUGCAUUCACACUAACCUUUUAACGGACUGACUCUGACUGCACUCACACUAACCUAAUAACAGUCUGACUGCAGUCAAGGCCACCUAUGUUCCUGUUACUGUCACGUUCCUGGUAAUGCUAAUACGAUAUCUGAUCCUGGUUUAAUUGCCGAUACUCUGGAAAUUCUUGCUUAAACCUUGCAAGUUCCUUCCACGUCACUGGGCACAAGAUGGUAAGCGAUUCUGUGUUAGAAGACUGCUCCUCUAGAUCCCUGCUGCUGUCUGCCGAAGAAUGGCAGCCAGCGUUGGGUACUGCCAGCCUCCUGAGAAUUUGCAUUGCAGCAGCAGGGAGAUCAGCAAUGGGCAGGUAUAGGAUCUCUGGGCAGACACUAGCCCCCACACCUGGACUCCAAGCCUGGCUAUUCUCUCUGACAGGUACUGUUUAUUGUCACAGUUACUGCUCAGAGGAAACACGGCACACGUUCUGUACAUCAUAUAUAGUCUACAUAUUAAUAGGACAUUGAAUAUAAUUAGUAUUUACAGUACAACACAAAAUCAGGCCACCCAUACCCAGGCACACCCGAAUGUAUUUUUUUCCUCACUGUUUCCCCAUGUAGAUUUAUAACCGCUCAUUAUCUGAUUUAUAACAGAGAAAAAGAGCAUGAAUGUCGAAAAAGCAAAAAAAGUAUUUUUUUUUUACCUAUUUUUUUUGUAUUUUUAAGUUAAAAAAUUACAGGUGAUUCUUAAAAAGAAAUACAUUUUUAGGUUUGCGAAAGCAUUAAAUAAUAUCGUAAUAAAUUAAUGUGCUACGCAUGCUUUGGAUAUAACAGAGAUAAUCAUGAAGUCAGAAAAUGACAAAAAUCAGACAAUGGAAGUCGUUCGCGUUCUCGCGUUCUGCCACCCGCAAGUAUCUUGGUUUACAAUGUUUACAAACAUUCUGAAAACACGUAUAGACAAAGUGUUAGAUCGCUGUAGAAAGAAUAGAUAUAUAAUGCUGGGCGUUUAACAGACCAUAACCUAUGUCAACAUAUGCUUAACUAUAAUACAAGUUUAUUUUAUUUUUUAUAGUGCAGAGCUGAUUACACAAGGCAAAAUUGGUGAAUGACAUAAGAGUUAUACUCGCAAAAGACAAGAUAUGCUGCACUUUUUUUUUUGUAAUGGAAAAGGUCACAAGGUUGGGUAACGUUUUUAUCAAGAGAAGCAUAUAACAGGACAUUACUUAUAAACUGAACGGAGGCUCAAAGACCCGUUUUCAACCGUAGCGUGCUGCAGGGAGCGGCCGUCUCCCCUGCGCCGCCCAUGCUUGUAGGCCGCAGGUGUCUCGUCCUUGAGUUUUGCCCGUUGGGCUGCUUGUUUAGUGUCUUCAUGUGCCCCUCAGUCUUCCCUCUCCCUUAGUGACACUUUGGGGUUGGUUCAGCGCCGUUCGUGGCAGUUAUAGUGCAGCUUUUGUCUGUUUAGAGCAGUAGCAGCUCUUCCCUGCGGCCGCUCAGUUUAGCGGUCAGGCCCCGUCCCCAAAAGUUUAUUUCUUCUGACAGAUCUUUCAGCAGACCUGUCACCUGAGCAUAUUAGCAUUUACAUAGUCAACAUAUAUUGCAGCUCUUUAUGAUUAUAGAAAUGGGAUAUAAAGAAGGCCCUGUUCAAACGGAAUUACAAUCUGAGGAUAUGAGGUCGGUGUGUAUAUGUCUUUUUACGUGACUGGUGAGGAGGUCUGACUGGGAUUUGAACCUGGUCUAUAUAACCCUUUAAGGACCGGUGUUAGUUUGUGUGUCCAUAACAAUCUGCUCUUUAAGCAUCCUCUUCCAAAUUGGAAUUUCAAUUACUUUCGUGAGACUGGAAAGAGCAGCCAAACCUAUAAAAAUUUUUAAUUUUUUUUAAUUCAAUUUUGGUAUAGGGUCUACAGGCACAAUAUUGUGAUGACAAAUUUGUAAAGCAACAGGACCUGAAAGGGAUUGUCUAGGUAAAAUUUUGCAAUAUGUAUAUUUAUGGGAUGAUAUUCUAGCAUUUUGCUCUAUAGUCCUCUGGCUUCCUCUGCUGGAGAAGGUUGGUUGUAAUGGGACCUAGGUAGGUUGACUAGCCAGCUAAAAUGGCUGGUGUUUUCAUUGGAAAUGGUGACAGUAGAUGGCAGAGCAGACGUGUAUCUUGUGAGAUUAAGUUGGUUGAGUGUUCCAGAAGUAUGUUUUUUUUUUUUUUUUUGUUUGUUUUUUUUGUGUGUGUUUUAAAUAUUCAUUUAUUUUUUUCCUUAAAUGACACUGCCACUCACAAAUAAUGUGCCUCAUCAUUCAGAUUCUGGAAUAAUACAUCCAAAGGGACAUUAAAGGUGGGAAGCGAACCAAUCCCCAUUGCUAGCAACGGCUGCGGAAACAGACAAAACCUGACUGUGGGAGAUCUGCUUUUUGUCAACCUCAAGCUUGUCCGUUAGACAAGGUAGUCACUAUUUUGUCUUAUAAAUCUUUUGAGUUUUUAAUGAUUUAUCAUUACGAAAUGCUCAGAAAUAAUAUUGUGGUUACAGCCACUUCAAUGUAAUUUAAUUGUCUUGGUGAAAUUGCUUGCAAAUCUGUAAUUUAAAAGAGAAAUCACUCCCUGAUCACUUAUGUUUCAACUAUGAUGCCCAAAUAUCCAUAGGUGGCAUGAGCACAUUAAAUUGCCCAUAUGGAUUUUCACAAUAUAAAACCUGGUUACCUCCGCUGUGCAUUGUUUGCUAGGGGAGAAGGGAUAUUAUGCACAUUUUUAUAUAUAUAUUUUUUUUUUUAAAUUGCAGAAUCUAAUGCAUAACUUUUAGGUAGGUGUCAUAUUGUGCAUAAAUAUCACAUGUGACAUUUGUGCUUUAAAUGAACAUUCUCUAAGCACCAAAACCACAAUAUCAUAAUUUAGUGGUUCUAGUGCAGAGUUACUGACUUUUUUCACUGGUACUGUAAAACAGGACUUGACAAAUUUGCUUGGAAUCUAGGAACCAGCUAACUAACUAAAAAGUUAGCAGCCAUGUUUUUUUGAAAACUAACAAAGCUUUAUUUUAAACGACAAAAUACAAUUCUUAAAGGGAUACUAUGGUCACCAGAACGACUACAGCUUAAUGUAGUGGAUCUGGCAUGUAUAACCUUUCCCUACAGGCUUUUCAAUGUAAACACUGCCUUUCAGAGAUGCUGUGCUGUAAAACAUUGAGGUUUCAUGUCACCACUAUCUUAAUCUGGCCGAUCCCUUUCAAGAGCCUGUGUUAAGUGUUGUACUCUUGGGGAUUGCGCAAGAGUACAACACUGAAGUCUAUGGUGGAUCGUUAGAGUAUUCCUUCAGCCAUUGCUAGUGUGUCAAGCAUAAGGGAUAUGGACGCUGGACGUCCUCACGCUCUGCAUUAGGACCUCCAGCAUCGCCGGAAUCCCCAUAGCAAAGCAUUGAAUGAUGCUUUCCUAUGGGGAGGUCUAAUGCGCGCGGCCAUUGCCACGCAUGCGCAUUAGGUCUCCUCAGCCGGCAAGCGUAGGCUGGGGAGGAGCGUGGGCGGAGCUUCACCCAUCACCGAGGUACAUUGGCACUGGAUUCAGGUAAGUGUUUGAAGGAGUUUUAACCCUUUCAGUGACGUGGGAUGGGGGAGGGAGGGGGCCACUCCAAGAGUUUCCAGUUUCCUAUACUGCCAGGAAAACGGGUUUGUUUUCUUGGCACUAAAGAAUCCCUUUCAUAAAACUAUGGUUAUACUACCUUUGCAUUGUGUGCCCUAGCUGUGCCUGGACUGAAUUGAAUUGUGAUAUCCUUGGAAAAUCUGUAACAUUUUAAAAAUGAAUGUAAUACAGCGCUGUGUAUCUUUGCUAGAGAACCUUGGUUAAUUUAAAAUGAUACUAGAGUGCCAGGAAUACAAGGCUAGCUGUAUUCUUGGCACUAUAGCACCCCCUGGUGAAUAAAAAGGUUAAAAACUCUGUAUCUUACUUACCUGAUCUGAGCGCCGAUGUCCCUCUGCGCUGGGUCGACACUCCGCCCCUUCAGACCUCCUGCGGCGAGAGGGUGCUAAUGCGCAUACUGUGCGCGCAUGAGACCUCCCCAUAGGAAAGCAAACCUCCGCUUUAGCAUAUCCGUGCAGACCAGAGCCAACAGAACCAUGUAGAAACGGUUUGACUGUUUACCAUAGGACUGCUCCAGGGAACUUGGCACCAUAACAAGCUGUAUUAGUUAUGGUACCCCGAAUGCCACUUUUAUUUUUAUUGCUGCAAUAACAGCACGUCAUGCUUCCAGAUCAACAGUUUAAUUUAUUAUUUAAAAUAAAAUAAACAUGAGCGAGAACCAUCUCUUCUCUACAUAUUACACCAUUAAAUAAAACCUUUUAAAUCCACUAUAACUUGUGUUUAAUGUUUUUCCAUGUGAUGGUUCUUUUUAUUGUUUAUUAAAGAGCAAUCGAUGUAACAAUCCAGGCACAGGCAAGGUACACAUGGUAUUGCAGAUGCAUUGGUUGUAUUUCUCCUCUUCUACAUACUAUGUCCAAUGACCGAAAAGGGCAGAGCUUAUAACAAUGAUUGACAGGGGACCAAUAUGGAGGCACUUGGUUCCAGAAUGCUCUGCAUGGAGGCCCUGAAUGUUCCCCAGAGAGAUGCAUUGAUUGGCACAGUAUGGCAUUUUGCUUUCCUAUGGGAAAGCAUUGGCUAAUAUUAUAAAGCGUGAUUUUCUCAGACAUGGAGGUGGGGCCAGCCGCGGCGAGACUGGCACUGCGUGGAAAAAAAUGGCAUGUUAUCAGAGAGGAGCUGCUUGUUGAAACAGACAAACACAAACACACACACAGAUUAUUAUUUUUAAUUUAUUUCCACCCAGCCUCCCUUCCGUUGGGAGAGCUCUAGUGGAUCCUUUUUUCUGGGUUCCAGCGUGGCUGCUGUGUUCCUGCUCUUCUUGCAAUUAUUUUGAAUCAAUUGACAUAAACCUGCAGCUUUUGCAUCAGUUGUGAGCCAUUCAGUUUAAAUAGGUGUACGUUGUUAUGGCUGUGGGACUGUUUCUUUUAAUGUGAAGUGAUUUGGGUACUUAGACUGUUCCUUAAUGUUAUGAGUAAACUUUAUACAUUUUUAGCUAGGCAUCCUCUUGCUGAGAAAUAGCAGAUUCACUUUGUUUGCAGAAUGCAAAUAAUGGUCCCCUGCUUUGUGAAAAACUGUUAUGAGUUCAUGCAAAUUCCUUCUCAACCACAGUGUGUCUGUGUGUUCAGCUAUUUCUUGCAUUUUAAAACUGCACAUUAACGGUUUUAAGAUAUAGAAAUAGCACAUGAAUGUCAUCUUCUCUGAUCAUUAAUUAAUCAUCUCAAGACAUACCAUACUAGCAAUCUGGAACAAAGCACUUCUAGAUGCAGUGGAUCAUAACCGAGAAAAGGGCGUUGCUACAGGGUAGAUCAAUUCCUUCUGUCUUUUCCUGUCUUAGAAAGUGGACAUUUUGAACAAGAUUAUAACUUUGAUCUGAUUACAGCAAUUAUGUCCUGUAAAAAAAUACCAUAGUUGCUAAUGCUGACCGUUAUGGGAACAGGCAUUUUAACUACCACCUGGACUCAAUGUGCGUGCACACUGAACUGCGGUGGGGAAGGCUCCCCUUGUGCUGUCUUUUGCUAUAAGCCCUUCCUUUCUGUCUCGAACACCUGCUUAGCUCUCCCUAAAGUCAAAUAACAUAUUGAUCAUUAAUGAUGUCAGCUCAAACUCUGUCUGUGCUCUGUCUUUUAUAUUUCUCUUCUCUCAGCUUUUCUCCCUACGUCUCUGAGUCAAAAGAGUUAUUCUCUUCCUAAUCACAUGCUGCCUAUAUAUAUCCGAUAUCCCAUACUUUCAUGUAUAUCAAACUCUGGAUUUGUUCUGGCACUUUCUAGGUAACUUUCAAACAUUCAGUAAGAAUUAGAAUUCUCAAAAAUAGUACAUUAGGCCGAUAUCCUAGUGGAACCUUGGGCACCUUCAAGCAUACGCCACACAGGUUGACUUUGUCAAUGCAUUAUGCCUUAGAGUGUUUGUUUUUUCCGCAUGUUGCUAAUACUGUUAUACAAACAUAUUUGAUAUGUCACAAAGGCUGUACUUCCUGACAUAGCCCAGAUUGUCUACCUGUAUGUUGCUAAAUAACAUUUGCAGACAUUCCAUGUCAAUAAUUUUUGCAAUCAUUUAAAAGGACUCUAUAGUUACCAGAACAACUACAGCUUAUAGAAUUUGUUCUGGUGAGUAGAAUCAUUACCUUCAGGUUUUUUGCUGUAAACACUGUAUUUUUAGAGAAAAAGCAGUGUUUACAUUACAGCCUAGUGAUAACUUCACUGGCCACUCCUCAGAUGGCUGUUGGAGAGCCUUCCUGGGUCAUGGCUGCCUAAAAUGCAUCCAAACAUUCAGUGUCUCCACCCUCUGCAUGCAGACACUGAACUUUCCUUAUAGAGAUUCAUUGAUUUAAUAUCUAUGAGGAGAUGCUGAUUGGUCAGGGCUCUGUUUGAAUCAUUCUGGCUCUACCCCUGAUCUGCCUCUUUGUCACUCAGCCAAUCCUAUGGAGAAGCACUGUGAUUGGAUCAGGCUACCACUUCUGAUGAUGUCAGCAGACUGCUUGUUUUUCUGAGGCAGACAGGGCAGAGCCAGCAGCUUCAGGCUUGAAUUCAGUAAGAUUUUUACUAUAUUCAUGGAGGCAUGAGGGACCCAGGGGUGCUAGAUGGUGGUUUUAACACUAUAGGGUCAGGGAUACAGGUUUGUGUUCCUGACCCUAUAGUGAUCCUUUAACUAUACCCACUAACAUGGGCUGAUAAUAUUGUUAUUAUAUAAAGAGGGCAAGGACAUGGAGCAAUGUGAGAGUUACAGACCCAUCUGCUUAAUAUUCUGUGACAUUAAGAUUUUUGCAAAAUACUAUACUCUCUUUAGAAACUCUAUCUCCCAGACUUAAUUCAAGAAAACAAAUUAAAUAUUUUUUAUAUUUUCUCUUUUUUUUUAUUUUUUUUUUUCUUAAUAAGCACAGCAUCCCUUUACCUUCUCACACGGGUUUAGACAUAGGCAUGAAACUGUAACAGCAGUGAGCGGUAGUCAUAGACUGGAUCAGUCUUCAUGAGGAACAGGGAAGCAUGGAGGCUUCUGUUCGGAGCAUUAAUCUGAAUGUGUAUUAAAAGAAAAAAGUAAAAGUGCUAUAUUCUCAUUCUGCGGCCAGUAAACAUUUCAAUUGUCCUUCUAUAUCAGAUGAACAAGUGAAGGUUUACUGGGUCACCGUACAUAUCUUUGUAAUGUUUGGGGGAUCAGGGUCGGACACCGACUUUGUUCACGGUGCACAGCUACUGGACUUUAUGAUGGACAACUUAAUGAUGUUGUAUGGAUCAUCACGGACACUGGUGUCCUUGUACACUUUGCCUAUCCAUUGUGGGGAACUUAAUCAAUUUUCUUUAAACUUUUGCUAGGAGUGAAGGGAGCCCAAGUUUAUCACGGUUCUGAAAAUCCACAUUAUAUUUAAAUGUUGGACAUGUAAGAAAGAAUAUGCAACAGUAUAAUGAUUAUUUGUUUUAAAUGAAGAAUUUUAAAUUAUCAAAAUUCUAAUGAUAUUUGGACAAUAUAGUAUGUUUGGUGUGUUCUUGUAUGCAUGCAUCACUUUAUUCAAAAGUAGUAAUAAAUAUAUUUUUGCACAUGUGUUCUACUUGCAGAAAUAGAACAUAAAGUGGCUUUUCUGCACUCGACUAGCUGCUGUGGGAAUAGUUUAAUGUGGGAUAUCUUAAGCCUAGCAAGGUACAGAAAUCACACAGUACUCCAUAUCAUACUCAUGGCCAAUAUGAUUGUAUUAUUGUACAUUGUGAGAGUUUGAAAUUAAAGUGAUCCAUGAUCUUUGGGUAAACAGUUUGGAAUAUUAUGGAUGCAUCACUUUAUUUCAAGCUAACCACACAACUAAUUAAAACCACAGACACAAAUUUAAAAUAAAAUACUUUUAUACUUUUUUAGCGUUUAUCAUCGGUAAUUAUCUGACAGUCUGUGCUCAGAUGGCUUGACCGUAGUCUUCCACUCCUUGCAGACAAGAUCCCUCUCCCUCAAUGAUGAGAUUGCGCAUGCAUGACGCUCUUUACGUCAUGUGAUGCUGCGUCUUCUUCUCGACAGCUUGCUCUCCUGGAGAUCAUCAUCGACCUGGUGCCUGGGUUUUGUCAAGCCCUGGGUUAACUGUUAACUUUUAAAAAGCACACUAUAGUCACCAGAACAACUACAGCAUAUUGUAUUUGCUCUUGUGGGUAUAAUCAUUCCCUUCAGGCUUUUGGCAGUAAACACUGUGUUUUCAGACAAAAGGGCAAUGUUUACAUUUACAGCAUAGGGAUACCUCCACUGACCACUCUUCAGAUGGCCCAGGGGAUUCCUGGGGCAGUGCUGUACAGUGUGAAGCGUUGCCAUUCAGUGUCUCCAUCCUUUGCAUGGAAAAACACUGAACUUUCCUCAUAGAGAUGCUGAUUGUCCAGGGCUGUGUUUGGCUUGUGCUGACUCUGUCCCUGAUCUCCCUCCAUGACUGUCUAAGCCAAUCCAAUGCUACGACCCCCCCCAGCAUGCCUCCACAACCAUCCAGCAUGCCGCCCGCCUCUUUGACCACCCAGCAUGCCGCCCUCCUCCAUAAUCCCCUAGCUGGUCGCCCACUGGACUUACAGGUAUUAAAACAAGCAAUAAUGUGUGUGUAUGUCUGUUGUGUGUGUGUGUGUAUGUCUGUCUAUCAUGGGGUGUGUGUGUCUGUCUUGGUGUGUGUGUAUGUAUAUAUAUAAUAUGUGUGUGUUAAGGUGACCAGACCACCGAGCUGGUCUCCCCUUGACUAGUCUUUGCUUAGCCUUUUAUUUUAUUUUUUUCAUGUUGGAUGGAGACCUGCGCUUCUCACUUUUCUUGUUUAUUUGAGCCAUGGCUCAAUACCCACUGAACCUUUUAUUGAAUUGAAUGCUCUCUCUUUUUGAAAUCUGAAUUCAUUAAAUUAGUAAAUUAGAUCAUGCAUCCUUCUUAGUUGCCCCUCCUUAUCCUAGUAUCCAACCUUCUCAAACUCCUUCUUUACUCCCUCCUGCUUAGCACUUUCAACCCACUGCAAUCUGGAUUUGCUCUGCUUUCUUACUUUUUACACAGUUCUUGAAGUAAUGACUACUAUGUAUCUCACUUUUAACUUGUCAAUCUCAUACUGUCUGCUGCAUUUCAUGUGGUUAAAGGGACACUGUAGUGCCAGGAAUACAAAGGUGUAUUCCUGGCACUACCGCUCCCCCUGUCUUCCACCCCCCUCUCCCUGAAUUAAUGCUUUCCAAAGGGAAAACAAAUCUGACGCUAGAGGUCCUCAUGAGAGUUUCCUAGUGGCUGUCUGGUAGACAUUUUUUUUACAUUGCAGCACUAAGUGCAAAAGGGACAGUGCACCCAGACUACUUCAAUUAGCUGAAGUGGUCUGGGUGCCUACAGUAUCCCUUUAACCAUCCCUUCUUUCCUGUACUAUCUAAAUGCACAAGAACAUGUCUCUGUCCGUCCGUCCAUUCCUGUUUCUUUUGACAAUGCAUCCUCUAAUGCUUUGCCAUCCCUUGUUUGUUUGUUUGUUUGUUUUUUAUUUCUUAGUGCAAAUCCUAAAAAUUUUUCAUUUUAGCUACCGCCUCUAAUGCUCACACUGUCCACACAAGAUACACCAUUUUUCUAAACUCUUCUGCUGCAUGUUCCUCACUGAGUCAUACUUUUCUAAAACUAAUAUGUCAAGACUGAUCAGAGUGUUGUUUCCCUAAUCCCUUAAUAUACCUCAAGUGAUCAUCAGAUAUCGACACCAUCAUGUAGCAUAAAAAAAAUGCUAAAUCUGUCAACCAGUGUUUCAUUUAUGUAUGAAAAUUGAAGGACUGCGUUUAAACUGAAUUUAGCCUUUCCUUGGUUAUGUAGGGCACUCUGUAUAAUCAGAGAUUUGAAUGAACCUUGUCCUGUUGCUGUGCAGUAGGAUGCUGUGUGCUACUUAGACAAUCACAGAUUUUGUCUCCUCACAUUCUGCCUGCAACUUUUUUUUUUUUUAUCAUUUGGCAGUCACGGAAGGCUUAAAAGUGAAUGACUCAACAAAUGAAGAUGGAGUCUUCUGGACCUUCUAUUAACCAGGACUGGCUCAGUGCUAUGCUCCAUUUAUUUCUUUACAUUGUAAGCAGUGAUGUGAGAUUUAGUAACCCAAGUGUGUUGACUUACUUGCUGUUGGAUAAAUAACUCCGGUAAGUCAAAAUUCAGGAACAACCCACCCAAAUACGUGUAACACACUAAUCCAAUAAUUAUCAAACAAAUAGUUACUCUGAGCACUUUUACCACUUCAGUGUUUUGAAGUGGUCACGAUUCCUCGGGUCUGUAUGUCUAGUGUUUAAAACGCUGCACAUACAGAGAUUAACCCAUUAUGUGCUGGAGGUGUACUUCAAACUCUAAUAGCAUCAUACAGGGGUCAUCCGCAAGCCUGGAACUAGUGUGACUGGGCUGGCUAAUGUCAAUUCUGUGAAACCUUUGUUGCACAGAAUAUCAGUCAUUAUCCAGAAACCGCAGCGGUCGGCAUUCAUUGGUUGAGAGCGCUCAGCGGAUUCUUUUGUUCAUAUAGAAGUGCAGAGGUAAAAAUAAAAAAAUGAUUUUUCUUGAUCAGGGAGUUGGAGAGUUAAAUUGUUUUAGCAAGAGCUCACCCAGCUGUUUAUGGUCUGUUAGAGCUUUCUGGAGUUUGCAGUCUGUGCUUCCUACUGCCAGACACAAAUGUUGCACAAAACAGGUAUUGCCAGCCAGGAAAAGAGUAUUCCAGCUGGCUGAUUGACAGCCAAACACAAAGGAGAGAGAAGAGUUUCAUUUCUGUAAUGAAACAUUUUAAGGAAAUUAUACAGGGUCUUUGCUCCAUAACCAUUUCAGUAAGAUGAAGUGAUUCUGGUGCUUAGAGUAACUCUCGUUAAUGGCAUGAAUUAAUAAGUCUAUAUGAGUCUUGUAGAUGAGCAAAAAAGGAGGAAAAUGUGCAAAUUGUAUUUUAUUUUUUGACUUUCAACACAUUUAUUUAUUUCUUUAUUUAUUUUAAAAACCCAGACACAGGAUGGGGAGGUGAGGGGACUUGUACUAUGAUAAUGAUAAAUUAUGAUAAUGAUACAUUAAAAAAAAAAAAAAUUUCAGCAAAAAUUCUAAAGACUUAUUAGAUCAUUCAUUUUAUUUCAUUUUGAUGCAUCUACAGCUGCCAUUUAAUUAUGAAAACUGAAAUGUGGGCAUGAUUUCCAUGUCAGCCCACCGCAGUAAACCUGAUUGGAGAGAUUGUUGGGGUGACUUGCGUUGCCGAGGUAACUUAAAACCAUAUUUACCUCCUCAGGGCUUCCGUGCUUAGGAAGGCCUUGUUAUUGUUGUUGGGUUGUGGAAAAAUCGCAUUGUAAUUUGCAGAGUCUUUUGACGGGAGAGGUUUUAUAUAUACAGGGUUAUUCACUAAAGCGAGAAAUCAAUUUUUAAGUUCAAAAUUGCCAAACUGGAAAAAAUCUUUGUCAGCUAGGAUUUCGCUUUGGCUAUUUUGACCUUUAACAUUGGUGGUAAAUAACCCUGAUUGACCUCCAUUGUGUUUUUUGUUGUGACUGAGUUUUUUUUUUUUCGUUAUGGGUGUGGCACUGCAGUUAGACAGGAGCCUAAAUCAUCAUCAGUGAGUUACAACGCCGAAACACUUUCAGAAAAAAAACAUACUUUUCCAUACAGCAAUGUCAUGUUUCUUUAGGAAAUGCUGAUGUUCUGCUUGCUUUCAUUUUCUCAUGUAUUUCAGCUAUUGAUCCAUUAAUGCAGGAGAAAUAAACUAAUGAACAGUAGGGUGUGUAAAAAAGAAUUAAAGGGGAUUACAUUUUUUGUAUGUAUGGGUGUGUGUGUAUAUAUAUAUAUAUAUAUAUAUAUAUAUAUAUAUAUAUAUAUAUAUAUAUAUAUAUAUAUAUAUAUAUAUAUAUAUAUAUAUAUAUAUAUUACAUUGCUAAACACAAAUACACACACCAGUCAAGCCAUAAGACUUGUUUUUGCCACAGAAAUCUCACUACUGCAAGGGAUUCUGGGUAGGCGUAUGCAAAUGAGCUCAACAAAUAACCAAAUUUUUGCCUCAUAAUUCCACUUUAUACAUGGAUUCCUUGGAGUAUGUGUCUGCUGUGUACAACAUGGACAGCUGUUUCGUUGUUAAAGGGACCCUAUAGUCACCAGAACAACUACAGCUUAAUGUAGUUGUUCUGGUGAGUAUAAUCAUUAUAUGCAGGCAUUUUCAUGCAAACACUGCCUUUUCAGAGUAAACUGCUCCCAGGGACACCCCCACUCCUCAGAUGGCACCUGGAGGUGCUUCCUGGCUCAGGGCUGCACAGUAGGCAGCAGUGCCGUUCAGCGUGUCCACGCUCUACUUGGGGACACUGAAUUUCCCUCAUAGAGAUGCAUUGAUUCAAUACAUCUCUAUGUGGAAGUGCUGAUUUGCCAAAAUGGCGUUCUUCCUCACCCCCUUGUCGAAUUUAGCCAAUCCAAGCCAUCCAAGGGGGGCAAGCCAUCUAAUGGUGGUUUUAACACUAUAUGGUCAGGAAUACAUGUUUUUAUUCCUGACCCUGUAGUGUUCCUUUUAAUGCAGCUCAUCAGCAUCAGGUUGGUUACUGGCUUGCUCAUUUGCAUAUGCCUACCCUAGAAUCCUUUGCAGUAGUGAGAGCACUGUUAAAGUGAGAUUUCUGUGGGAAAAGCAAGUCUUAUGGCUUGACUGGUGUGUGUAUUUAUGUUAAGCAAUGUAUUAACUAUCCACUUACUUCAGGUGGAAGGGGUUUUCAUCCACACUUUUUUCCCCACCCCAACUCUAUUGGUAUGUUAAAUAUUUUUAUAUAUAUUGAUGUGACUAAACCAGUUGCCCAAUCUAUUUGUCCUGCCACACAAAGUAAUUUCACUUGAAAGAAAAGAACACUGGAAUCUUGCUGGGUUAUUUACUAAACACCAAAUUUUUGUGAAUUUAAAUCUUAAUGGUAAAACGGAGGCAAAAAUGUUUCAAUAUAGUGGAGCUGGAGAAUUUUUUUUUAAAAUAGUCUAUUUUUCCUUUAGUUUUACAAAUUGGGUUUCAUUUCAGAAUUUUUUUUUUUUUUGUAAAUAACCCCUGAGUGUCUCCCUCUGUUCCCCCCCCCAAUAAUAUGUGUGUCUUGGCUGUGUGCAAUGUGUGCUUGUUGUAUGUGAUGUGUGUGUGUGUGUGGUGGUGCUCAGUGUUGCCACCCCCUAAUCUCUCUUUCUUCAAGGAGUAGGGUACAAUCCAUCGUGGUCUAUUUUGGGUCCUAGAUCCCUGGUGCACUAAUGGGUGUUUGGGAUCCAUUAAGCUCCAGCAGGAUACAUUCUUGUCUGCACCCCCAAAAGGUCCCCAGUGUACUCUGGCACCAGGAGUUCCCUGACACUGACCCACUGUGAUGAGUUCCAACAGUUAUCACUGUAGCAAUAUCAAUUUUCUUCAAUAUUGGGUGAACUCAUUGGUUGUGGAGACUUAUUUGACACGCUCAGUCAACUAAUUCUGCCCAAAAAUGGGAGGACUCUCUAACCACCUAAACUUCAGUGGUUAUAGUACAAAGAAUGAUUACCCACCAUACCUUAAGCGUAUUCUCGCCAUCCAAAGAUAAAUGGCUAAGGUUUAUGUGCUAGCUUUAGGCGCUGGGAAACUCACGAUUAUUGUCAUUCCACUCAAAACCCUUUUAACACAGAGGAGACAGCAACAACAUUUUGUUGCAGAACCGUUACUAUUGGCUGUAACAAACUUUUGUUGCCGUCUCCUCUGUGUUAAAAGGGUUUUGAGUGGAAUGACCAUAAUUGUGGGUUUCCCAGCGCCUAAAGCUAGCACAUAAACCUUAGCCAUUAAUCUUUGGAUGGCGAUAAUAUGCUGAAGGCAUGGUGGGUAAUCAUUCUUUGUACUAUAACCACUGAAGUUUAGGUGGUUAGAGAUUGGUUAUGGUGCCAAGUGUUCCUUUAAAUUUGUGGUUUUCUUCAACUGGUUUAUUCAGUCUUUUUCAGUGAAGCUGAUCAUUAUUGGAUUCACUUUUUCGAAAAUGAUAAACCGGCUGUGGGUUUGUUGUUGAUUAGCACUUGCUUAUCACUAUAUUUCGUAUCGGUUCUUAUGUUCUUCUCGCUUCUCUCCCAACUGACCUACCCUGCUGGUUCUGCUGUAUGUAGCAAUAAGUUAUUAAUGACUUUUCCAGAUGAUGAAAUCCCUCAUAUUUGGCUCCUGCCCAGUGUUUCAAGGUCACUUGGUUCAUGAUACUCAGAAAGGGAGACUUGCUAUCUGUAGGGAUUGAAUGUAAACCUAUUAACAGCUCGUAUGCCUGCAGCUGUAGGACACACACUAAAAUCCGAAUUUGUUACACGUUGCAUGGCUUUGACACAGAUUUUUUCUAGGAGUCAGUUCAUUAUGGUUUAUCUGUAGAAAUCUGUAGAUAGCAUGAAGUUUGGCAUGAGCUAGAUCAGUGGUAGUCAACCUUUUUCUACCUACUGCCCACUAAUGCAUCUUUCUUGAUGGAAACAUUUCCUUUCCGCCCACCAGUUUUCGCGCAAGUGCGGAUAAUUUUUUAGAAAGAAGGGUGUUUGAAAAAAAAUAUACAUACAUUUAUCUUUUUAUUUCUACUUAAUGUAUGUUUAUAAUGUUUUUAACUUUAUAAAGUUUAAUGAGAAGACAAUAAAGUAAAUUGAAAUUACCUUUACUAGUGAUUAAUGAGAUCCUUGAGGCUGAUGCUGCGGGACUAAAUAUUUGAUAUCUGGUUCAAUUUUCGUAAGGAACAAACAAAGGUCUCCUCUUUCGGUGAUAUUCAGACAACUUCUCUGUUUGCGCAUAAUAUGAUUUCUCAUCUGUGGUUCAGCUCCUCUCCUCUCCUUCCUCAAUUCCCCUCCCCACUUUUUCCCCACUUUUUUUCUAUUUUUUAACCUUCCUUAUAGCAAUGCCCAGUAGGAAGGCUGAGCUAGGUAGCCCACUUACUAUAGCACACUAUAACAGACAGGCAUACAUACAUACAUACAUACAUACAUACAUACAGACUCACACACAAGACACACAUACACACAGACAUACAUACAAAGACACAUACAAACAAACAGGCACACAUACAUACAGACACACAUACAGGCACACAUACAUACAGACACACAUACAGGCACACAUACAUAUAGACACACACACGACACACACAUACAGACAGACAUACAUACAGACACACACACACGACACGCCCAUACAAAGACACACACAAUAGACAUACAUAGACACAUAAAGACAGACACAAGACACAUACAAAGACAUACACACAACACAUACAUACAAAGACAAGACAUACAUACACACAUAUAUACAGACAGACACACAAGACAUACAUACAUACAUACAUAGACACAUACACACACCUACAGACAGACACACAUACAAAGACACAUACACACAAACAAACACACACAAAAUAUUUUAGUCACCCUCCUGUUCCCUACCUUUUAGGUGCAAGAGGGUGACUUUCCCUGGGGUCCAGUAGUGGCUCAGGUGCAUGGGAGUCAGAGUUCCUACUCUGACUCCCUGGUCUUCCUCCCGCACGGUCUGUGUGUUAGCUGGGAGGAGUGACGUGUAGUCACUUCCUCCCAGCGUGUGAUGCAAUAACAGGGGGCCCAGUCGCGCUGUAAAAGCGCCCAGCGCUGACCGUGCCCCCUUACAAUCCACAUCCAUCAGGGGGCCCUGACAGCAUGGGCCACCCGAUGGAUCCCUUGGACGGCGGCCCCGGCCCGCGCGGCAAAUGGUGAUGGCGGUACCCGUCGCAGGGGUACCUCCCGUCCACCCAAUCAAUGAAAUUGAUGAAAUCCCUACCGCCCACCUGGAAUCCUGAAAUGCCCACUAGUGGGCGGUAGGGACCAGGUUGACGACCCAUGAGCUAGAUACUGGUGCUAACAAAAUCCUUGCGUAAAUUUUAUAUGCAACCUUUCUUUUUAUUGCCGAAUUGUUUUUUAGUACAUGAUUGUUCAUCCCGGCAUUUUGUAUUGCUUAUAUACAAAAUGCCGGGAUAUAUAUAUUCACAUAUCCAGUCAAAAUUAUAUCUAGCCCAAACUCCCAUUUUGUACCAGAUAUUUAAAGUCCCACUCCAGGAGCAAUAACAGCUUAAUUGGAUUGGUGCCUGAAUUGUCCCUUUCAAACUACUUUAUUGUCCACAACUCAUUAAUGACUGUUAUCUGAUUCGGGUCAUAAUUAAAAAUUAAAUUAAAAAAAACAUAUUUAAAGGGAAACCAUCUCUUCUCUGGAAAUUGUACCAUUAAAUAAAACAUUGAAAGUCAUCAAUAACUUGCAUUUACCUUUUUUUCGUGUCAUGCAUAGUUUUCUUUUUUCUAUUUUUUUUUUUUUUUUAUUCUUUAUUUUUUCAGUGCAUAAGAGUGAUACAAGCAGGUCUGAGGUGCCCCGAGAGCAGUCCUCAGGCAGUCCCUCGCUUAACAUGCGGGGCAUAAUAAUAGGCGCAAUUUUAUAUUUUAUGCAGGCUUGGUUCAAUAGUUAGUUACUAGCUAUUCAUUCGCGUCUGAUACCUAUCUAUCGGAACAGAAGCUGUCAAAAGAGAUUUAACUAACGAGGUAUACGUUCUGGUUUGUGGCUUGCAUAGCUAGCUAGACAUGAAAAGGGUUAUGAUAGCUUUAUGAUAACACGUCUAAACAUCACAUGUUGGUAACAGUAUGAGCAGACUGUUACAUCCCAUUGUAAGGGAGCCUUUGAUGGCCCUUGCAUACAUGUCAGCUAGCUCCCUACAAUUAAUUUAACUCAGCUCAGGGGGCCAAAGCAAAACAAUAACACAAGGCAGUGUCCACAGUAGCUGCAUAGAUGUGGUGGCGUGGCAGCAGGCCCACCCGCCGCAAAAGUCAGCCUACACCCAUGGUUGGCGGGAGCGAUGUACAGUCUGAGGGGUCCCAUGGAGCUUUGGUGUCGUGGUUCAAGUGAGCUGGUGGAGCUCUGUCACCGCCCCCCAUUCCUCCGUGAGUACCUCGGGUGGGGGAAGUCUGGACUUGGCGGCAAGUCGGCCCCUUUGCUCCCCAUGCAGGUCUGUAGGCUGGUGUCACUUUUUGUACUCCUGAUGCAGGGGUGAUGCCCUUCUGGGCACCGGUAGUGGCUGUGCAUCUCUGUGGGCGGCCGAUGCAUUGAGUGGCCCUCUCAGCUCCGCUGGUCAUGGGCUGAGCAUAUGCUUUCCUAAUGUGUCGCUUUGGCUUGGUGAGCAGUGGGCCGUGAGUGGGGGGUCUCCGAGUAUGUUGGGACCCAGGUAAUAGGUGUUGGAUGCGUGGUCUGCGGCCCUCGGGUCUGGGCAUAGCCCUCAUCCUCCUCUGCUGUUUCGCACCGGUCGGCGGCGUAGUUGUGCCAAUUGGAGCCGGUUUGCGUGCAGGUGGGGUGGUAGGUAAUCGAGAGACCAUUGUAGUCGCCUGGGUCCGAGCCAGCGUGGCCCACAACCGUGCCCAGAUAUGGUUGUAUGCUGCUGCUAAUCUUCGCUUGCCUGUCUCGCUGGCAGAGGUUGAGUAUGUGUAGGCCCAGAAGCCUGGUUGGCUGACGCCAUCUUGGUAGCUGGGUGUGGGAUGCAGGUGGUUGUGGAGGCUUGCAGGGUCCCGUGGACCAGGAUAACCCCCGCCGGUCCAUGGGGGGUGGGGGUGACACGUGGGCUCAGCAGUGAGUUCGCCGGGUAUGGAAACGGUGAGAGAGCGCUCAUCUCUCCCGCGCCGCUUGUGUGAGUAGGCCGCAUUUGGGCACCGAGCGGGGUAUCUGCGUUUGAGGUGUCGGUGUGAUGGUCUUGGUGUCCUCCGCUCGGUAGCAGCGUUCAAGGGCCCGUAUUGGUUGUCAAUUUUGCAGAUUCUGCGUUUAUUUUCUGUCGGCUCAGGAACUGUUGCGUUUUCAAGAUUUAGCAAUUGAUAUCCAGUUCAGUCCUGGCACAAGAAGAGAACGUUGUGCGUGUCUGUCCUGACCCGUAACCUGUUUACCAUUGCUGAACCUGAGGAACCUUGUUCCGGUUUACUGAGCCUGUUUACCAUACCUGCCUUUCUAGAACUCUGGUUUACAUCCUAACUUUGACCUUGUCCUCCUAUACUGACCUCAGACUUGUCGAGCUGUCUCUUGUUCAACUUUGUAUACAGUCAUUCCCCUGGUGGGGACAAAACAUUGCUGGGUCCCUUUGGUGACUGAAUUAAGCAUCCUUAGGAUUUUUGGUGUGGUGGUUUUCAUUUUAUUUUAUUUUUUUUGUCUCGACACUUAGAGCAGCAUCACAUUAUACUUUGUUUCGAACAGAGGCCAGUAAACAAUAACUGUACACUUUGCAUGUUACAAUAGACAAGUGGUGUCACAGUUUGGUUAUCGGUAGCGGUCUUCCGCUCUUCAUAGAGUUUUCAUCGUUUAUGGACGUAACUUAUCCAGUUAAACACGUAAAACAUAACACAAUGUCAAGUAAAAUCAAGUAAGGUAAAAUAAAACCGAGCGGACCCUUCGUCCCUGUGGCGUUCUAUUUGUCUACAAGGAGCGGUAUGUAAGUGUUCUGGGCAGGUUGGAUUAUCGGUGCCAUCGGUCGCUUUUGGGUUACUCCCGUGUAGUACAUGACCCUGGGUGCGUGUAUGUUUGUGUAAAUCACUGGCCCCCGUGGAGUUGGGUCCUUGGUUAGGCGGUCGUGGUCCUGCUGUAUUGGCUUUUAUGCCAUUGUCGUCGUGUUUUUGGUGCCCCCCCCCCCCCAUCUCAUCACUACGUGUUGGGGUAUUUUCGUGGCGUGUAUAUUAUGGUGUGAUUGUCCUGAGCACAGUCUCCAUGUUGUUUUAGUAAACGGUCUGUGCGGGGCGGGGGGGGACGGGGAAGGGGGAAGGAAGAGGGUGAGCCCCGCUCCAGUUGGGGCGCACGGCGGACCCCGGUCCCGUCAAGUGUUCCCGUCUCUGUUUUCGAGGGAGUUUAUUCGUUAGCAUAGUCCUCCCAGGGUUGCCAGAUUUUAUGGAAUGAACUUUCUGUGUUUCUAAUUUGGGCUGUUAGCUUGUCCAUUAGGUAUGUGUCUUUGAUUUUUACUAUCACUUCGUCGGUUAUUUCAUUUUUGUAUUUGAUGUACAAUGACAUCAUUGUUUUGGGAAAAUAUCAAGGCCAAUACAUACCACACGUGGUCUGACACCAGUUUGCUGACAUGACUACUUCUGCAACAUGUUUCCACUUCCUAUCUCCUUAACACUUCACUAAAAACCAGUAGUCGCUCUGCAGAGAAUCAAAAAUAUAUCUUGGUUAGUUCAGAGAAUUGUUUUGUUUUCAAAGUAUUUAUGGUUUUGCUCCAAAUGUUGAAAUACCUUUGGCCUUCCUAAACCCAUAUUAGUAUUGCUGACUCUGCAUUCUUGAUCAGGGCCUGACUGCUUAUUAUGGGCUUUUUAUACCAAUAUCAAUGCCUUCCCGGUUUCUUAACCAUGAGAAGGAAUUCUGUAAGGAUAAUUACAUAAUAAACCACUGUCCCCAAAUGUGUUUGUUUAAUUCUAGGGCAGAUGAUACGUGCUAUGUGUGGGGCAGGAGGGAGUUAUUAUUAGGAGACCGUGUUGGUGCCUUCUCCUUCUGCUUGCCCACCUCCUUUUCAGAUAAGUUUAUAUUGAAAAUAUAGCAAAUUACAUCACAGUCCAGUUCAGACAAAGGAAAACAAAUGUGGAGGAGAAAUGGAAACAUUGUUUUAUAUCUUCACUUCUAUAUGUUUUUUUUUUUUUUUAAUGCUGACUGCAAGAUACAAAGAACAGAACUUAUAAGCGUGACUGACAGGGAGGCGAGGCUCAUAUUCCUGUCCGCCCACGCCUCCCCCCUUUUCAGCCCCUACAUUGGUUUCCCAUAAGAUAUAGGGCUCUAUUUAAGAUCCUGGUACUUGCUUACAAAUCUCUAGACAAUGCUGCUCCGACCUACUUAUCCUCACUAUUACACAAAUAUGUCCCACCUAGGCCCCUACGCUCUGCUGGAGACUUACAUCUAACCUCUGUUCGUACUCCUACCUCUGAUGCUCUCCUUAAAGACUUCUCUGGGGCUGCAUCGUUCCUAUGGAAUGCCCUUCCCUUCUCUGUUAGCCUCUCACCCAGUCUCCACUCCUUCAAAAAAAUCUUUGAAAACUUAGUUCUUUAGGAAAGCAUAUCAAUUAAACUGUGAACAGCUUUCACUCCCCGCACCCUGAUUUCUCUCCUGAAACUGUCAUCAAAACAAAACACUGAGCCCUCAAUGAACACUAUCCUAGCAACCUACUUUUCUACCCUACCCUUACCUUCUUUGUCACUUUACCCCACUCCCUCUAGCAUGUACGCUCAUUGAGCAGGACCCUCAAUCCCUCUGUUCCUGUGUGUUCAACUCGUCUGGUUACAAAUACGUGUCUGUUAGUCCACCCAUUGUACAGUGCUACGGAACUUGUUGGUGCUUUAAUAAUAGUGGAAGCCUUUUACCAACCUCCGGCUUGUCCAUAAUAGUGUUAAUUUUGGCGACAAAUUUCAAUUUAGUUUUAGUCAUAGACUUUUGACUAAAAAGCUGUUAGUUUUAGUCAGAUUUUAGUCAUCUGAAUUGUUUUAGUCGCCUAAAAGGUGAUAAUAUUGUUAUUUGACAAAAUGAACACUGGUCCGUAAAACAAGCUAGUCUCUUAUGAAAUCCUUGGUUAGUCAGAUUAUAUCUUUGUAAAAUACUAUGAAGUGACAGAGCAGCUUUAACACCAUCUUCGUUAAAAACAAUGUGCUCAAAUAGUGAGAAUAAAAAAAAAAAAAGAUUAAAAUGAUCAAGUUCUAUAAAAAAGCAGAGUAUAAACAGAUACAUUUAAACAAGGUUCCUGAUGGCUACAUUUGUUGUUAAUUGAUUCCCCAGAGAUGAAACCUGCUCACAAGAUUGUGGUUUGUUGACAGCGAUGUUGCAAUGUAAUUGCAAUAUAUAAUUCACCACAGCUUUAGCAGAUCUAUGAAUAGACUUCGUUGAAUUUUACUAAAUGUAUUCUGCUGGACCAAUGCGGGGCUGAACACUAGCCAGAAAUAUAUGUAACCUGUAACUCUACAGCAGGUGGAAUAGUAUACAAUGUAUGCACUCUCAGGUUACCUAUUUAGCAAACAAAAAACGUAACUAAAUGCUUUUACCAUGCCUAUAGCUUCAAUUUAAUUCAGGUAACCUUAUACAAAGUACAUUCCUACAUUCUCAGCUCCGAAGCUAAACGAGGGACACUAUGUAUAUAUAGAUGAAGCUCCAAAAUGCAAGCACAAAUAAUCAUCUGCUCUCUGUCCAUCUCUGUCUCUGUCUGCUCAGGAUGAAUAACACACAAUCUCGCUAACCUAAAAGCUUGCCCUACAAGCCUGUAGAAUGUUCUUUGUCAAUCCGCCUGUCCUAAACAUAUUGAUGAUAUGUUGGGAGCAGGGCCGGACUGGGAAAAAAAUUAGGCCCGGGCAUUUUUCAAUUAGAGCGGCCCCCCAAGAAGGGGGCGGGGCCAGAGAGGGUGUGUUUUGUCAUCACUAAUGACAAGCACGCCCCCUCUCAAAGUGAGCAUGUUGGUUCAAUGUGCAGAGCCCCGCUGAAGAGCUCUGGCUUUAGAAAAAGGCCCUGUAUUUGUUCUGCGCAGCGCAAGCAAAUGUAAUAACAUGCUUGCACUGUGUUUGCUUUUAAAUUGUCUCUGGUGUCUCCACAAGUGGGAUACCAGAGGACAAAAGGGCCAGGAAAGUGUAUGGUGCAUGUGUUUGGCGCCUGCUUGUGGGAUUGCCUGUGUGUAGAGUGUGGUGUGGUAUUGUGUAAAUAGGUGUAAUAUGUGUGGUGUAAUAUGUGUGGCUAUGGGCUGUAGAGAAUGCGUGUAUAGGGGCAUAGUGUUAUAGGGGAUGUAGCGAGUGUGUGCAUACGGGCAGUAGUGUGUGUGUAUAGGUGAUGUAGUGUGUGUAGGGGUUGUAGAGAGGGUGUGUUUAGAGAAUGUUGUAUGUGUUUCCUUACAAGGAAUGUAGUGUGUGUGUAGGUGGUGCACUGUGUGUGUGUAAGAGAUCUAGUGUGUAAAGGACCCAGAGUGUGUAUAGAAGAUUGUGUGUGUGUGUGCAGAGGAUUAAGAGUGCAUAUAGGGUAAGGGAUCUAGCGUGUAUCUGGAGCGUAAUGUGUGUAGUGGUGCAGUGUGUGUGUGUGUGUGUGUGUAUAUAUAUAUAUAUAUAUAUAUAUAUAUAUGUGUGUGUGCUAUGUGUGUCUCUGGGGGUGCUGUGUGUGUCUCUGGGGGUGCUGUGUGUGUCUCUGGGGGUGCUGUGUGUGUAUCUGGGGUGCUGUGUGUGUAUCUGGGGUGCUGUGUGUGUAUCUGGGGUGCUGUGUGUGUGUCUGGAGGUGCUGUGUGUAUCUAAGGUGCUGUGUGUGUCUGGGGGUGCUGUGUGUGUGUCUGGGGGUGCUGUGUGUGUGUCUGGGGGUGCUGUAUGUGUCUGGGGGUGCUGUAUGUGUUUGGGUGCGCUGUGUGUGUUUGGGUGCGCUGUGUGUGUAUGGGGUGCUCUGUGUGUAUCUGGGGGUGCUGUGUGUGUAUCUGGGGUGCUGUGUGUGUGUCUGGGGUGCUGUGUGUGUGUCUGGGGUGCUGUGUGUGUGUCUGGGGUGCUGUGUGUGUGUCUGGGGUGCUGUGUGUGUGUGUCUGGGGGUGCUGUGUGUGUGUGUCUGGGGGUGCUGUGUGUGUGUGUGUCUGGGGUGCUGUGUGUGUGUGUCUGGGGUGCUGUGUGUGUGUAUCUGGGGGUGCUGUGUGUGUAUCUGGGGGUGCUGUGUGUGUGUGUCUGGGGGUGCUGUGUGUGUGUGUCUGGGGGUGCUGUGUGUGUGUGUGUCUGGGGGUGCUGUGUGUGUGUGUCUGGGGUGCUGUGUGUUUCUGGGGGUGCAGUGUGUGUCAAUUAUAGUAACAAAGGUUGUGCAUACCCCAAGUCUGGAUUAUUUAUUAAAUUUUUAUUGUGUAGUUGUAGGGUCUCCAUUUUGAUAUUGUGUGACAUAUCAGACAAUUGGAUUGUCACUAUUCAGCUUUUUCAAAUUUCUUGUAAAUAUAUUUUUGUAAAAUUUAUUUUAUUGAAAGAUUUAAAAGUAUUCCAUUGUGCGACACAUUGCCAAAUUAUAGAAAACAAAAAAUCUUUAAACCAUAUAUGAAAGUCAUGCAAACUGGAACAAGAAAACAACAUUUAAAAAUCUGUCGGCUUAGGGCAUCCAGCUUUUUUAUUAAAUAAAUAUGUUGCUGCAUCCUCGCUCUAAAUGUUUUUUUUUUUUUUUUUUUUUGCCCACGUACUGUGAUCCACAAUUGCAUUUUAUCACAUAGACCAAAUGCAUGGAAUUACAGAUAAGGAAAGAAUCCCCAUACAUUUAUAAAAUGUAAGAAUCUAGAUUUUGGGUCUGCACAAAACAGGGUGAAAGAUAGCAAUUUUCCGGGUUUUUUUUUUUUUUUUUUUUUUACAUCAACAAAGCGGUCCGAAAACAUAAAGAAUUUGACAUUUCUGUGGUCAGUUAAUACUAUUUUAGAGAAGCGAUUAUUUCUAAGUAAUCCGUAUUCUUCGGCACAUUGAUCAAUAAAAAUACAAUAUUCUGGAGACAUGAUGAACGAUACUUAUUGUUCUCAUGUUUCAAGAAGUCUUUAGUAAUUAUUUAUUUAAGCAGACUGUUGCUUUAUUUACACGAAAUCGAAAGUGAAAUAGAUUGACUAUGAAUAUUUUUUCAGCAUAAGUUCAUUGUGUAUGUGCUGCUGUUAUUAUUAUUAUUAUUAUUGCCAUUUAUAUAGCGCCAACAGAUUCUGUAGCGCUUUGGAUGUAACUAUAAAUAGGACAAUUCCAAGAAAACUUACAGGAACAAUAGGUUGAAGAGGACCCUGCUCAAACGAGCUUACAGUCUAUAGGAAGUGACAUAUAAAGCAGUGGUGUUAAGAAAGGCUCUGGGUUCUGUGUGUAGAAGUAUGAAGAUUCCGUUAUAUUUUUAUUGCUGUGCCAGCGCUGUGCUGCGUAUCUUUUGAGGCCCGAUGGGUUAUUUGUAGAGAACUUUGAUAAGCACAAGCCGUGUCCUGUAGUAUGGACCAGUUCCAGUUUAAGUAUGAUGUCGCUGGGUGUUUUCGCAAUCUGCUGUUCUAGUUGAAAUCCUAAUAACAAAGUCUCUGUGUAUUGUACAGCAUACCUUGCACGUUUUCCUGUUCUUUAUCAGGAUAUAAAUCAUUAUACUAGGUCUCUUGUCAUAUUGCGCAGAGUUGGCAUAUAUAGAGUAAAUUAAUCACAGUGCUUUAGGUCAAAGGUUUUAAUAGAUACAGUCUGUGUGUGUGUCAGUCAAGUCAUGAGUGUAUCUUAGAGAAAAGCAAGCAAACUCCAUGUCACAGGAUCAGUGUAAUAGUACAGAAAAUAUCUGAUUGUAUGCAAACCAAAAAAGAGAGACUAGAAAAAGCCUAAGACGUCGUCACACUUUUAGCUUGUCAGCAUGGGAGGGGAGUUGUGAUAUACAAAGUGCUUUUUGUUAUUUUAAAAGUGGAAUUUGCCAGCACUGCCUUUGUGUUUUACACAAUUUGAGCUGGGCCCUCUCCGACCAUUGUACAGAAUGUGUUGCACACUACGUAAACAGUAAUUAUAAUGUAUGGAUACUUGCUUUUUCUCGCUGUGCUAAAUGAUGACAAAGACAGUAUAAAGUCCAGAGGUAGGCAACCUUCAGAACUCCAGAUGUUGUGCACUACAUAUACCAGAAUGCUCUUACAGGCAUAAUGCUGACAUCUGAAGGUAUAGACUAUAGUGUACUUAAUCCAGCAGUUCUAAAGGAGGUGUGUUUUUUUUUUUUUUUUUAAUUAUAAUUUUUCCCAAUCACUGCAGAUACAACACAUACACUAAUAUUGAGCUUUAAAAUACAAAUGGGUCCUCAAAUGUACGUAGGUUCCUUUUGUUUGUGUUAUUCCAUUUUAGAAUGGUUUGACUUCUUACCUGGGGUCUGUUAGGUGCCGUUCUCUACUACCUCUGAUAGAGAGCCAAACGCUCUUCCUUAGGAGCUUUCAUUAGCUGUCAUCCGCGAAGCCCUGCAGUGCACUGCCAGCUGAUUGCUCUCAGCCAAUAAGUAUAUCCCUGCACCAUUGCGAUUAGUUCAGGUUGUCUGUUAGAAGUAAUGGAGGCAAGCAGUGGGCCUGGCAAACCCCAGGUAAGAUGCAGACUGUCAUAAAAUGGUUUGACUGUUUAAUAUAGGGGAGUCUGUAUUUGCACAUACAGAGUUUAAUUCCAGAGUUUAUAAAAAUUUAAUGCCCUACUUAUUAAUGUGACCGGACCGUAUAGAUUUGCAAACCCAAGCUAAUCUGGAAAUUCUACACUUGACUAUAUUAUUUAGGGCCCAAAUGUGUGAUGACAACAUGAAAUAUCAUUGGUCCCCAGAUUAGGAUGAACAUACCAUCCAAAACCAGUAUUGCAAAUAUAUUGUGGGUCUAAUCCCCCUCUAUUUCAUUUAUUACUGAGAAAGGAGAUAACCAGGACGUAGAGAGAGUAUUAAGACCAGCAAAUUAAUGGGAGCACGCCAAGGGGGGAAAGAUAGCAAAACACACCAUUCUCACUCGUUAAAGUUGCCAAAUCUACCAUCAUUUUAUGGACACACAUAACAUUGUAUUAUGUAGCAUUCAUGCUGCCUAUCAACCUGUAAAGGUAGUCGUUAAUGAAAGCACACUGUUAGCUAAUAUUAGUGGAUUCCUUUCUCAGAAGUCCAUGUUGACAAAAAAUGUGCUUAAACAUCAUUUUGACUGGUACAUUUUUCUUCAGACCUUUUUUAACCUGUUAUCCUUUAGAUCUACUAUCUACAUCCGAAUAUUGACUCUGAAAUAUGUGUUUUAAUUUUUUUAUAAUGCUUGUUUUCUGUAAUCAUCUGUUGGAUCUAUUAAGUAAAUGAUUUAUUUCUCUUCCCUGUUUUAUUGGCAGAAACACCUCAUGCACAGGCAGACUUUUCUGACAAUUCCAAACAUGACAUUUACAACACGUUUGAUCCAUGGCUGUUGCUGAGUGUUGGGGUGUAACCACAAGCAUUGCAGUGUGGGAGG